AGGCAGCGGCGGAGAAAGCUUUU
rnacentral:siRNA from 1 species